rnacentral:lncRNA from 1 species
AGCAUGGUCAUUGGUGGCUAGAAUUUGGAUCAGGAGUAUUAGUAGGAUAUUGGCCAUCAUUUUUAUUUACACACCUUAGAGGUUCAGCAAGUAUGAUACAAUUUGGAGGUGAAAUAGUGAACAGUAGAGGGAAUGGAUUUCACACAUCAACACAAAUGGGAAGUGGACAUUUUGCUGGUGAAGGUUUUGGGAAAGCAUCUUAUUUUAGGAAUUUACAAGUGGUGGAUUGGGAUAAUAGUUUAAUACCAUUGUCUAAUCUCAAAGUAUUAGCUGAUCAUUCUAAUUGUUAUGAUAUUCAAGGAGGGAUUAAUCGUGUUUGGGGUAAUUAUUUUUAUUAUGGGGGACCUGGAAGAAACCAACGUUGUCCUUAAAAGAGGAAAAGACUUGUUCGGUGGACUAAAGCUUUUUCUAUUUAACAAGUCUGAAAAGAUCCUUAAAAGAGAAAAAGAAAGGGACAACAUGGUUUUUUCUUUUCUUUUUUGGUUUCUUAGUUUGGUUGAAGGAUCCAAAGCAUGGUCAUUGGUGGCUAGAAUUUGGAUCAGGAGUAUUAGUAGGAUAUUGGCCAUCAUUUUUAUUUACACACCUUAGAGGUUCAGCAAGUAUGAUACAAUUUGGAGGUGAAAUAGUGAACAGUAGAGGGAAUGGAUUUCACACAUCAACACAAAUGGGAAGUGGACAUUUUGCUGGUGAAGGUUUUGGGAAAGCAUCUUAUUUUAGGAAUUUACAAGUGGUGGAUUGGGAUAAUAGUUUAAUACCAUUGUCUAAUCUCAAAGUAUUAGCUGAUCAUUCUAAUUGUUAUGAUAUUCAAGGAGGGAUUAAUCGUGUUUGGGGUAAUUAUUUUUAUUAUGGGGGAC